UACAGAGGGUGCAAGCGUUAAUCGGAAUUACUGGGCGUAAAGCGUGCGUAGACGGCUAUCUAAGUCGGGUGUGAAAUCCCCGGGCUCAACCCGGGAACUGCGUCCGAGACUGGCAGGCUCGAAUCCGGGAGAGGGAUGUGGAAUUCCAGGGUGUAGCGGUGAAAUGCGUAGAUAUCUGGAGGAACACCGGUGGCGAAGGCGGCAUCCUGGACCGGUAUUGACGCUGAGGCGCGAAAGCCAGGGGAGCAAACGGG
rnacentral:rRNA from 1 species